rnacentral:rRNA from 1 species
UGGAACCUACGGGGGGCAGCAGUGGGGAAUAUUGCACAAUGGGGGAAACCCUGAUGCAGCGACGCCGCGUGAGUGAAGAAGUAUUUCGGUAUGUAAAGCUCUAUCAGCAGGGAAGAAAAUGACGGUACCUGACUAAGAAGCCCCGGCUAACUACGUGCCAGCAGCCGCGGUAAUACGUAGGGGGCAAGCGUUAUCCGGAUUUACUGGGUGUAAAGGGAGCGUAGGCGGCCUGCUAAGUCUGGAGUGAAAGCCCGGGGCCCAACCCCGGGACUGCUUUGGAAACUGCCAUGCUAGAGUGCUGGAGG